GACGAACGCUGGCGGCGUGCUUAACACAUGCAAGUCGAGCGGUAAGGCCCUUUCGGGGGUACACGAGCGGCGAACGGGUGAGUAACACGUGGGUGACCUGCCCUUAGCUCUGGGAUAAGCCUGGGAAACUGGGUCUAAUACCGGAUAUGACUCCAUGACGCAUGUUGUGGGGUGGAAAGCCUUGUGCGGCUAGGGAUGGGCCCGCGGCCUAUCAGCUUGUUGGUGGGGUGAUGGCCUACCAAGGCGACGACGGGUAGCCGGCCUGAGAGGGCGACCGGCCACACUGGGACUGAGACACGGCCCAGACUCCUACGGGAGGCAGCAGUGGGGAAUCUUGGACAAUGGGCGCAAGCCUGAUCCAGCCAUGCCGCGUGAGUGAAGAA
rnacentral:rRNA from 1 species